rnacentral:rRNA from 1 species
UACGGAGGGUGCGAGCGUUGUCCGGAAUCACUGGGCGUAAAGGGCGCGUAGGCGGCCACCGCAAGUCGACUGUGAAAUCUCCGGGCUUAACCCGGAAAGGUCAGCCGAUACUGCGGGGCUAGAGGUGCAGGAAGGGGCAACUGGAAUUCUCGGUGUAGCGGUGAAAUGCGUAGAUAUCAGGAGGAACACCGGUGGUGUAAACGGCUUUCCUGGGACCAUAACUGACACUGAGGCACGAAAAGCGUGGGUAGCAAACAGG